AAGUCGUAACAAGGUUUCCGUAGGUGAACCUGCGGAAGGAUCAUUAAAGAGUUAGGGUCCUUUGGGCCCGACCUCCCAACCCUUUGUUUACUGAACCUCUGUUGCUUCGGCGGACCCGCCUCACGGCCGCCGGAGGACCGCCCCCAGGCGUCCUCUGGCCAGCGUCCGCCGAUAGCCACUCUCAAAACUCUUGAAUAAAUCAUGUUAUUGUCUAAGUCUAUGAUGCAAAUCAAUAAAGCAAAACUUUCAACAACGGAUCUCUUGGUUCUG
rnacentral:misc_RNA from 2 species